rnacentral:rRNA from 1 species
AUUGAACGCUGGCGGCAGGCCUAACACAUGCAAGUCGAACGAGUGGCGGACGGGUGAGUAAUGUCUGGGAAACUGCCCGAUGGAUGGGGAUAACUACUGGAAACGGUAGCUAAUACCGCAUACCAUCGGAUGUUCCCAGCUGGGAUUAGCUAGUAGGUGGGGUAACGGCUCACCUAGGCGACGAUCCCGAGCUGGUCUGAGAGGAUGACCGGCAACACUGGAACUGAGACACGGUCCAGACUCCUACGGGAGGCAGCAGUGGGGAAUAUUGCGCAAUGGGCGCAAGCCUGAUGCAGCCAUGCCGCGUGUAUGAAGAAGGCCUUCGGGUUGUAAAGUACUUUCAGCGGGGAGGCGUUACUCGCAGAAGAAGCACCGGCUAACUCCGUGCCAGCAGCCGCGGUAAUAC